UUGAUAACCUUUUUGCUGCCGCCGCUUCACCCGGUCCUGUUUAUGAUGUCACUCCACUCGCGACGUUCCCGCCAAUAUCAACAGGCCCUAAGCAUGUAUUGAUGAUACAAUAGAGGAGGCACAGGUUGAAGUCAGCAGCGGGCAAGGCCAUGAUCAGAAGCAUCCUACACUUAAGAGAGCUGCACCGACCGAAUCAACCGCAACAAAGUUGCCAAAAAUGAAGAAGAAAAAAAUUGAUGCAAUGGAUGAUGCGAUAUACCAGAGGUACUGUUGUACCAAUUAUAAGAUAAAGGACCCACCCCGAGGCGAGCCACUCCCUUCGUUCAUAAGGAUAGGUGGUUUCGAUAUUUCAUUCAAACAUUUCAGCAACGGGCUCAAAAAGCGGGCUCAUGUGAACAAUGAGGUGAUGUCACUCUAUAUUGAAAGUUUCAACAUUGAGCACAUGUACAGUUCAAGCAAGCCAAGGAA